rnacentral:rRNA from 1 species
GAUGAACGCUGGCGGCGUGCUUAACACAUGCAAGUCGAACGGUGAAGGCGGAGCUUGCUCUGCUGGAUCAGUGGCGAACGGGUGAGUAACACGUGAGCAAUCUGCCCCUGACUCUGGGAUAAGCGCUGGAAACGGCGUCUAAUACUGGAUACGAGCUGCGAAGGCAUCUUCAGCAGCUGGAAAGUAUUUCGGUCGGGGAUGAGCUCGCGGCCUAUCAGCUUGUUGGUGAGGUAAUGGCUCACCAAGGCGUCGACGGGUAGCCGGCCUGAGAGGGUGACCGGCCACACUGGGACUGCGGGACGGCCCAGACUCCUACGGGAGGCAGCAGUGGGGAAUAUUGCACAAUGGGCGAAAGCCUGAUGCAGCAACGCCGCGUGAGGGACGACGGCCUUCGGGUUGUAAACCUCUUUUAGCAGGGAAGAAGCGAAAGUGACGGUACCUGCAGAAAAAGCGCCGGCUAACUACGUG